rnacentral:ncRNA from 10 species
ACAUAUCGUGUAAGAGUUGGUGCCAAGCUGAGGCUUGGCUUAAAAGGGAAGAACGGUGAAAAUCCGUCGCUGUCCCGCAACUGUAAAUCGGAGUGACUCGCAUAUGCCACUGUCUUUGGACGGGAAGGCGCGGGAAGCGUUGAUGAUGAGCCAGGAGACCUGCCAAUUCCCAGUACACACCA